rnacentral:tRNA from 1 species
GCUUUGGUGGCCAAGUGGUAAGGCGUCGCACUCGGUAGGUCCCGCCUCAAAUCACCCACCCCACAGGGGAAACAUCAACUAACAAUCAUCCAGUAAUGCGAAGAUCGGGGGUUCGAUUCCCCUCCGAAGCA